rnacentral:tRNA from 1 species
CGCGGAGUGGAGCAGUCCGGCUAGCUCGUCGGGCUCAUAACCCGAAGGCCGUAGGUUCAAAUCCUACCUCCGCAACCA